rnacentral:lncRNA from 1 species
AGGAGUAGAGGAAGAUCUAUGUCAGUUUCCAGUUUCUACACUUGGCAAAACCCUAAUUCCACGCCUUUACUUGCACUCCAAGAACCCAAUAAAGUGGAUGCUGACGGUGAUAAUCAAACUAUCAGUUUGUUUGAGAGGAGGAAGAUGAUGAUGAAGAGUAAGAAAGAUUUGAUGGCUCAGACUCAAAGUUGUUUCUGUCUAAGUAGUUUGCAAGAGGAAGAUGAUGAUGGUGGUAGUUGUGAUGAUAAUGAGUGAUAUAUAAUUCUCGUUUUUAAUUACAGGAUGUUUUAGUGGUGGAGGAUUUGAUUUGUUAAGAAUAUUAUUAUUUAUUGGCA